UACGUAGGGUGCGAGCGUUGCCCGGAUUUAUUGGGCGUAAAGAGCGUGUAGGCGGUCUGACAGGUCUGCUGUGAAAACUCGAGGCUCAACCUCGAGAUGUCGGCGGAAACCGUCUGGCUAGAGUCCGGAAGAGGAGAGUGGAAUUCCUGGUGUAGCGGUGAAAUGCGCAGAUAUCAGGAAGAACACCGAUUGCGAAGGCAGCUCGCUGGGACGUAACUGACGCUGAGACGCGAAAGCGUGGGGAGCAAACAGG
rnacentral:rRNA from 1 species